rnacentral:lncRNA from 1 species
AGUAUUAUACUGUGAUGAUAUUAUUCUAAUAUUGGAGAUCUAUAUUAUUAAUAUUAGGUCUCAGACGAAGCUUAUUAUAUUGCGUUACGGUAAUCAACGGUUCAGGCAAGUUUCCUUUUACUUAACUCUACUAAGAGUUGUUCAUUCGGAUAUACUUAUGGUUAAUCAUCUCUGAUUGCCAUGUUGAAUUGUACUCUGUACAUCUUGCAUGUAUAAGUCAGGUAUGAAAGGCUGAUCACCUUCAUUACCAGUUGGUCCAGAUAUAUUAUUGUUCCUGUUCAAUACUUGUUCAGUCAAAAUUUUGUUCAUGCUAAUUCACAAAUACAUUGUGAAGGAUAGCCAGCUUAUUAUUCAUACUCUUUCAAUCAUGAUAUAUCUUUACAUUGUAUUUAAACUUGCUG